GUACGAAACUAAACUUUAAAAUGUGCAAUUCUAAAUUGGCUUAAAACCAUCCCUACCGCCACUAACCUUUCUGCGAUAGGCAGAGAUAGUAGUACAUUUUACACAACACCCUGCUGCUGCUGCUGGCGCUUACGGCAAACCUCGCUGAAUAAUUCUGUCAAUCCGGUUUGUUAAAUUUGGCUUCAUCUAACGGAUUAACCGUUAUUAUUAAUUACUUUCAUCAGAUUUUAACCAAGUAAUUCCGUUGAACCAUGUCGUGCGCGAGCAAUUAAGCUAUUUAACUGUUUACGCAGUUGCCGACUAAGGGAUCAAUGAAAUUCAAAUCGUAACAAAAUGCGGAGGAAAUUCUACAUAUUGGUGAAGUAUAUUGCUGAAACAUGUGUGAAGUGGCUACCAAAACCUGGACAGCAAGCGAGAACUCAUUUAGUUAUUUUAUAUUCAGUCACAUUUUUUCUUAUUUUGCCUACCCUCUGCCACAAACUACCUUUCUCUGUUUACUACCAUGCUGGUCAUGCUGACAAGGAUGACGGGAUUAGAAAGUUUAAUGAUGAGAAUGAUGAAAGACUUAAACUGUCUCGCAACUUUUUGAAAGAUACUUUCAGUAGCAUGAAGCGUCUACCUAAUUCUCCCUUGGUUACAUCAAAACUCAACUUUCCAGAAGAUGCCUUAACUUUAUUUGGCCAACCCAAAUUGAAAGUUGAUAUAGCACUAACUAUAAUUACAGUAUCCCGAAAUAGGCACAAGUUUAAUAAUUAUGAGCCACACUACCUUACACAAGCUGUUUGGCGAUAUAUGGAAUUACUUUUGAGUUCUGAAAAUCGACAAAGAAAUGUAAAACUUUCUCUGUGUAAUGUUGAUCGUGAUCCAGAUACCUACCAUGAAACUCGCAACCUCUCUUCUUUUAUUCAAACUUUUCAACGGUUCCCCACAAAAUCUUCCUAUUCUUUUGAAGUAUUUGAAAAAGAAAAAGAAGACUAUGUAUACUGCCUCAAUGCUUCCCUUGUAUGGAAACCAAGUUUUGUAUUGCUUGUUGAGGACGACAGCCUGCCCACAAAUGAUAUGUUUCGGGUUUUGUACCAUGUUCUUGACUACAUAUACCAUGUUAAAAACCAGCAUGGCUCAUAUCAGCAUUUUCCUGAACAGUGGUACUUAAAACUCUAUCAUCCAGAUCGACUGCUGGGAUAUUGGAGCAUAGAAGUGGAAAGAAUACCGGAACUAAUAUCCCUGAGUUUAGUUUUUGGUGUAUUAGUUCUUCUUAUUUAUCGGUGUAUUGGGAUGAAAAAUGUUUUUAGAAAUAUCAAUGCUUCCUGGUUUCUUCUCAGUCUCUAUUUCUUCUUGCUUUUUAUUGCCAUUGGAAGACAGAACUUACUUGAAUUUAGACGAUUGUCCAAACAUUUUUACAUGUUGACACCUUCACCUUCAUGUUGCACACCAGCAAUAUUAUAUACUAAUGCAACUGCUAAAACUGUUAUAGACUACCUUAGCCAUGUGCGUUGUAAGAGUAGGUUUGCCAAAGAUAUGGCAUUGGAGCAGUUACGUUCUGAGACUCACCUGAAAGCCUAUCUUUUGCAGCCAAAUCUUUUUAAACACAUUGGUCUGUAUUCUUCUUUGCGAUCAAAGAUUCUCAGUCCUGGGGUCGUAUGAUUAAGUUAUUCUUCAAUUAUUAUUUAUUUCCCUUUAGCUUGUCAUAUUUCAAACUACAUCUUUAAAUCGGUCUUUUUUAUUUUGCCUUUAAUUCGGUCCUGCUUUCAUUUCUGUUACUGCUACUAUUGUAGCAUUCUGUAUUUAAAAUGCUGCUUUCAUACCAUUUUGUCAAACUAAAGAUUUAUUUAUUUUUUUACUAAAUUUAAUAAAAAAUAUACGUAUUGUUGGAACAAUUUUUAAAGGCUUUUACUACUGAAUGCCAUUCCUAAUGUUCACUCACAUGAAAUAUGAAUAGAACGGAACUAAUCAAAUUGAGUACUGUUCUUUCUCUGAGGUACACUACAACGGGUUAUACUCUAUUUGAACUUAUGCAUCGUAUACUCAGUAGACCAGCAUCUUAACCUCUCAGCCUUUCUGCUUCACCUUUAUAAUACAUAAAACUUUAUUCUAUCUCGUUUCUCGUUUAACUGUUAUCAUGAAGAUAUUUACUGUUUCAAAAUAAUGUAACUACGCAGUCCAUAUAAACUGUAUUUCUUUUUCACCUAUCUGUCCCCCUACAUGGCCUUGCUCCCCCUGCAUGGCCUUGCUCCCCCUACAUAGCCUUGCUUUUUGCUUUUUGAGCCAAAAAUUAACUAACUAACUAACUAAUUACUAAAUACAACUAUACUAUUAGCUCCUUCAGUUUAACUACUUUGUUGAGGCAGGAUAACAUGAGAAAUGUUACA
rnacentral:misc_RNA from 1 species